rnacentral:rRNA from 1 species
GACGAACGCUGGCGGCGUGCCUAAUACAUGCAAGUAGAACGCUGAAGGAGGGGCUUGCUUCUCUGGAUGAUUGGCGAACGGGUGGGUAACACGUAGGUAACCCGCCUGUUAGCGGGGGGUAACUCUUGGAAACGAUAGCUAAUACCGCAUAAGAGUAGAUGUUGCAUGUCAUUUGCUUGAAAGGUGCGAUUUCAUUACUACCAGUUGGACCUGCGUGGAAUUAGCUAGUUGGUGGGGUAACGGCUCACCAAGGGGACGACACAGGGCCGCCCUGAGAGGGGGAUCGCCCAAACGGGAAUGAGACAACGCCCAGAAUUCCUACGGGAGGCGCAGUAAGGGAAUUUCCGGAAAGGAGCGAAGGCUGGACGGGCAAAGCCGGGUGAGGGAAGAAGGGUCUCGGAUCGGAAAGCUCUGUUGUAUAGGAAGAAAGAGAGGGGGAAGUAACAGUGCACGCUGUGACGGUAUCUAAUCAGAAAGCGACGGCUAACUACGUG